rnacentral:rRNA from 1 species
CUCAAAGGAAUUGACGGGGGCCCGCACAAGCGGUGGAGCAUGUGGUUUAAUUCGAUGCAACGCGAAGAACCUUACCUACUCUUGACAUCCUGCGAACUUGUGAGAGAUCACUUGGUGCCUUCGGGAACGCAGAGACAGGUGCUGCAUGGCUGUCGUCAGCUCGUGUUGUGAAAUGUUGGGUUAAGUCCCGUAACGAGCGCAACCCUUGUCCUUAUUUGCCAGCGGGUAAUGCCGGGAACUCUAAGGAGACUGCCGGUGACAAACCGGAGGAAGGUGGGGACGACGUCAAGUCAUCAUGGCCCUUACGAGUAGGGCUACACACGUGCUACAAUGGCCGGUACAAAGGGUUGCGAGCUCGCGAGAGUCAGCUAAUCCCGAAAAGCCGGUCUCAGUCCGGAUCGGAGUCUGCAACUCGACUCCGUGAAGUCGGAAUCGCUAGUAAUCGUGAAUCAGAAUGUCACGGUGAAUACGUUCCCGGGCCUUGUACACACCGCCCGUCA